ensembl:snRNA Gm27811 predicted gene, 27811
GAGUGAGUACAGCUCCUUUAGAAUUUUUUCUAGUAGGAUUUCUGACUUUGGUCUAAAAACCCAA